rnacentral:lncRNA from 10 species
AGCACUAGUAGAAGCUGCCACCAGAGAGAGGCUCACAUCCAGUUUUCACAGGACGCAAGAACUUUGCAGCAAUGGCUGUGAUUUCGCCCGUGGCUGGAGGAUGUCUCGAGUCUGGACGCUGCCUCGGUGCGUGCAGCCGGGCUGGUGAGCCUGUUUCCCGCAGUCUGUGCUGCGCCCCAGGGAUCUAGCAAUGGCCGGCACCGUCCCCGCCUGCAGAGGACCUGGCAGCCAGGCAGAGCGCGUGUCAGCCCCAACAGAUGCGGUGCUGCCCGUGGCUGCACCUGUGACAGCUGAGGAAGGGACAGAAGGAAGAGUCUGCACUUGAGAAAUGGCAUCCGGUGGCAAGGCUGAAACUUCUUCUUGGAGGGGCUCCAGCUGCAAUUCAGUUGGGAAAGCUCCUCGAAGGCCGCCUUGUGUCGGCCAUAACGCCCUGCUUAGAGCCCUCGCCCUCCCCUGUCUGUGUGCGGCUGGAGGCCUCGUCCGCCCAGGUGCUCUCCCCAGCCCUCCCUCGGUCCUGUCCUGACCUUAGAGAUAAGGUGCCCCUGGACCCUGGAGCUUCUCCCCUGGCCGGCCAGCCCCGCCCGGCUCCAUCCUGCAGGACGCCAUGCAUUGAAAUCUGGGGACUGGCCUUCAGGGUCCUCCUUACCUCUAGGCCACUUUGUAGCUUAACAUUUGUGGUUCGCUGUAAAGUAAAUACCCCCCCACGAGGACUUCCCUAGACACUCAAAGCUGGUCUCGAGGUUCGGAUCCUACUCCCAGUGUGUUCUCUGUGGUGAGACCCCUCACCCCCAUCAGCCUACUCCGCCUCCCAUUUAUUUAUCAGUCCCCCCUCUCACUUGCACACUGGUAAGGAGCACCUCUGGGCCGGAGACCCCACGUGCUCAGGCAGCUGCCACAGGCAUCUUGCUUUGAACAAUAAAAUUGGGCAGAAAUGACUGUCACCUGUGGGGGCACGUCAGAGUCGGCACUGACCCUCCAGGCUCCUCCCAGGGCUGCGCGGGGACAUGAAGGAGGGCAGUGUCCUGGGGGCCGAUGGACCCCUCCAGCCAGCACGCCAGGGAGGCAGGAGCUUUCGCCUGCCAACGCCCUGCCUUGGGGUGUCUGUUCCACAGCCCACCCUGGCCUGUGCUGACACCCCGCAGCUUUCCAUGCGGCCCUGAGAUGCUGAUGGGGCAGGAGAGCGGGCAGGAGGGGCAGGGGGAGGAAGCUACAGCAGCCACUCUUCCCAGCAGGAGACACGGCGGGUGCUGCGGGCAGGGGGCUGGGGGCGGCCAGCUGUGAGUGAACUGGGGACGUUGCUCUCUGGAGCCUUCCUGGAACAGUCCUCGGAGGCCCUGGCCGGCUUCGAGGGCACAAAGGCUGCCCCGCAGCACACGCUGUAUGGGGCACACAGGGCUUCUCCGGUCCGGCCCCUGCAGGACGCCAGGUGUGUUUCCUGGAGAAAGGUGCCAGCAGCCUCGGCCCGCAUUGAUCAGCCACGAGCCCCUCUCGUGCUCACCAGGGCUCCUCAGCGGAUUAAACAGCAGAGAGGGGAGCCAAGGGCCCGCCGUGAGACGCUGGGAAGCAGCUGCCGGUGGAGUCGCUGUCGUCAGCGCUCGGAGGAAAGCGCCCAGUGGGUACGUGGCGCAGCCGUGAGCCGGGGAUGACUCAGGCCCGAUUCACAAAGGACCAGAGAAGCCCGAUGAUGCCACUCCUGCCCCGGGCGCUGCGGGGGCGGGAGGAAGACGCAUCCCCCAGUCCCCUAGACCCGGGAGGCUGGAAGCUCCCACGCGCAGAGGGGCCAGCGGGGAGCCGGCCAGGGGUGUGCGUAGGUCCUGGCUUCUCACUGCUGUGUGCAGAGGCCGGGCUUGGCUGGGAGUUCAGACCCCUCCCGGAACGCCGGGCGUGGGAGCGGUGACAGCUCUGUCUGCGUCUGGCCUUGGGAGACAGUUUGUCGCCUGCAGGAGGCAUUGCAAAUCCUGCCCCGGCUGCCGCCUUG